AAAAGGUCGUGGCUUAUUAUACUUGUUGCCUACCCCCAUGUUGAUUAAUGCCUGAAGAAUUGUUUAAUCACAGUGGGAUUCACACAAUCUCUUGGAUUUUCAGUUACUUACCAUUUGGUGGUGGACCAAGGAAAUGUGUUGGUGACAUGUUUGCCACUUUUGAGACUGUGGUGGCAACAGCAAUGCUUGUCAAGCGAUUUGACUUUCAGAUGGCUCCAGGAGCACCUCCGGUUGACAUGACAACUGGAGCAACAAUUCACACAACUGCGGGGUUGAAAAUGACUGUUACUCGGAGGACAAAGCCACCAGUAAUUCCAAACCUGGGGAUGAAAGUCAUUUCUGAUUCGCAAGAAUCCAUACGUUCUACUCCAUCAAUGGUUGUUAGUGCUGCUACUGUUGCUUCGGGAGAAGAUCAAAGGGAACUCUCCUGAUUUAGCAGUUUCAAGUUGCACAGACAUACAGAAUGAUACAACACAGAGAAGAAGUUUCCUGGCGUGCUACUUUUACAAGGAUAAGAUCUCAAACUCUUCCUGGCUUAUUUCCGCCGAUUCUACAGCGCAUACCUGCAGAUUAUAGAUCUGCUUGCUGCCACUCAAAUGCGCCAUGGACAUAUUUACAAGAAGUUAUGACUUCGGAGCAUGGAAUGCUGCCCUUCUAAAUCUUCAGCAGUCCUUCCAACUCGCGAAGAACAUCAGCACGGGUAACUAUACCUGUUGAUAGUGUUUAGAACCCCAUUAAGCUUGCAAAGUCAUCAAUGUUAAAUAAUACAAAUCAAGUAUAUAUACAUGAUGUCCUUUUUGUCUCUUAACUGUUUGCCAUUCUGAUACUUACCUAUCACUUGCUUAUCCUGAUUUACAAUUGGUAGUCUGUGAA